CAUGUCCUUUUGUAAUAAAUUUAAGGUCUCGCCUGCCCAAUGAUAAUUUUAAUGGCCGCGGUAUUUUGACCGUGCUAAGGUAGCAUAAUCAUUAGUUUUUUAAUUGAAAGCUGGAAUGAAGGGUUGGAUGAAAAAAUAACUGUCUCAAAUUUAUUUAAUUAGAAUUUUAUUUUUAAGUUAAAAAGCUUAAAUAUUUUUAAAAGACGAGAAGACCCUAUAGAGUUUAAUAAAAAUAUUUUAUUAAAAUUUAGUAUUUAAUUUUUAAUAUUAAAAUUUUUAUUUAAUUGGGGUGAUUAAAAAAUUUAAUAAACUUUUUUUAUAUUUGUAUAUUAAUAAAUAUAUCUUUGAUCCUAAUUUUUAGAUUAUAAGAAAAAAUUACCUUAGGGAUAACAGCGUAAUUUUAUUUUAGAGUUCAAAUCGAAAAUAGAGAUUGCGACCUCGAUGUUGGAUUAAAAUUUAUAUUUGGUGUAGUAGCUAAAUUAUUAAGUCUGUUCGACUUUUAAAAUUUUACAUGAUCUGAGU
rnacentral:rRNA from 1 species